GUCCACGCCCUAAACGAUGUCAACUAGACCCGGGAGGCACUGACGCCAUCCGGAUCGAAGCUAAAGUGCUAAGUUGACCGCCUGGGGAGUACGGUCGCAAGGCUAAAAACUCAAAAGGAAUUGACGGGGCUCACACAAGCGGUGGAGCAUGUGGCUCAAUUCGAAGCAAACGCGAAGAACCUUAUCCUGGGCUUGACAUGUAUGGAUUAGCCUCCUGAAAGGGAGUGACACCCGCAAGGGCGGAACAUACACAGGUGCUGCAUGGCUGUCGU
rnacentral:rRNA from 1 species